CCGGCAGUGAUGAGUGGCGCAGGGGUACUGACCUCAGCUGGAUAAUGGGAGCUGAGUGCAGCCGUUCUUCGCUUAGCCCACAUGUGGUGGGCUUCCCGAGAAAUGGCUGCAUGAGAACAUUCGCCUGUACUGAGCCGC